AGUGAACGCUGGCGGUAGGCCUAACACAUGCAAGUCGAACGGCAGCACAGUAAGAGCUUGCUCUUACGGGUGGCGAGUGGCGGACGGGUGAGGAAUACAUCGGAAUCUACUUUUUCGUGGGGGAUAACGUAGGGAAACUUACGCUAAUACCGCAUACGACCUACGGGUGAAAGCAGGGGAUCUUCGGACCUUGCGCGAUUGAAUGAGCCGAUGUCGGAUUAGCUAGUUGGCGGGGUAAGGCCCACCAAGGCGACGAUCCGUAGCUGGUCUGAGAGGAUGAUCAGCCACACUGGAACUGAGACACGGUCCAGACUCCUACGGGAGGCAGCAGUGGGGAAUAUUGGACAAUGGGCGCAAGCCUGAUCCAGCCAUACCGCGUGGGUGAAGAAGGCCUUCGGGUUGUAAAGCCCUUUUGUUGGGAAAGAAAAGCAGCAGGUUAAUACCCCGCUGUUCUGACGGUACCCAAAGAAUAAGCACCUAACUUCGUG
rnacentral:rRNA from 1 species